rnacentral:other from 1 species
AUAACCCUGCUGUGUUCGUGACAGCCGACUGCGUUUUGAGCCAACACCUAUCAGAUAGGGAGCUGUAGUCUUCCUAGGGAACUAGGGAGCAGGCACCCACUUACGAGCAGAGGCUCAACACACAUACGGCGCACGGCAUGGCGGGGUUAGC